UCUGGGGAGUCACACAGGAACCCAGGGACUAGGUAUAUGAGCUGCCAGACACUCCAAGACACUGAACGCUCAGCCUGAGGCACACCAAAACACACUUGUGCAGGGGAAUCCGGGCCACAUGCCACUCUCCAGCCUGCUCUGGCUCUUCCUGGCCUCCGUCUUCUCUGGAUCCGGUGUGGCCCAGAAAGUUAUUCAAGACCAGCCAGUUGUAUCUAGGCAAGUUGGAGAGGCAGUCACCUUAAACUGUCGCUAUGAAACAAGUUGGAAUGAAUACACUAUUUUCUGGUAUAAACAGCCUCCCCGUGGAGAGAUGACUUUCCUUAUUCGUCAGUAUCUGCUAGCCGAAAUGCAAAAGAUGGCCGCUACUCCGUAAACUUCCAGAAAGCACAAAAUUCAUCAGCCUCACCAUUUCAGCCUUACAGCUGCAAGAUUCCGCAACGUACUUCUGUGCUCUCUGGGAACACACAGUGCCUGAAACAAUAGGAAAGGCUGAACAAAAACCCCAGAGCUUGAUAGAGCGAGCCCCCCCUGCUGCAGGACCCAAGCUGAAAUGCACACCUGCAAACCCUAGACAAGAAAUGGUCGUGCUGUGGCUGCUUCAUCUGUGGUCUGGAUGAGAAGAUUUCAUUCUAAAUAAAAGUUCCUUCUAUGUCAUUUGGAA